ensembl:lncRNA
CAAGGACACCGACCCAUCUGGGAGAGGGAGGGUACCUCACCACUGCCCUCCAGAUGAUCUCCUUGACACCACAGGGUGGGGAAUGUCCUGCACCAGGAGGCUUUGCACCUCUUCAGCUCCAAGUCUGGGAUCCAUGCUGCACAAAGAAACCCAGGGACCUCACCACCAAGUGGCACCUUGAGCCCCUCCACUUCUUUUUUCCCAUGUGUCAGAAUAAGGUGACCAGCGUGCUGGGUACACUCAAGACGGGAGCACUGGCUUAGCAGCAUGGAGACCUGGUCCACACCUGCCUUCCAGAGACGGGCAGAGGAGCUGACUGGUCAAAAUAACCCUGCUCCUUGCACGAGGGAGUAAAAUCUAUGUGUGCUCGGGUGGAGUGCUGUGGUCAAUGUCAACCGUGCACACGACAGCACCUGCCAAAGCAUUAGAGGUUGUCCAGAUAUAACUCACAGUCUGUAUUGAGUGCCUACUGUGGCUAGGUGCAGUGUCGACGACGUAGGUAGCAAAGAAGUGUAAGAGCUUCGCAGGAAGAGAAGCUGGGAGAAGCAGAGAAUAAGGCAAUAAAGGGGUGAUCUAGAGAGAUUCCUCUGGAUUUUCACAUGAAUUGGCUUGGGCUCCCGAGUCCUGACUCCCUCGUCAGAACGUCUGUCUGUCCUGCUCAGGACCUUUCAGGCCGCAAGGUGGCUGAGGCCUACUUCAUGCUAAUGCAAGGUCAGAAGCGAGAGCACUUGAUCUCCUAACAGAGAAAGACGAUAAUAAUGAUGGUUACUUUUUUCUUUUUUACUUUUGCAGUACCGAGGCUGAACCCAGGGCCUUCACAGUGACUCCCACCCCUAGCCCUUUUGUACUUUUUGAUUUUGAGAUGGGGUCUCCCUAAGUCACUAAGUAACCCAGGCUGAGCUGGAACUUGGGAUUCUCCUGCCUCAGCCUCCUAGAAUGCUGGGAGGGCAGGUGUGUGCCACCCGCCCAGCCAUGGCUAACAUUUUUAACACGCACUCUACACGCCAGUUUUUAAAUACUAACUCAUUUAAUUUUCAAGCCAUCCUAUGAGGAGGACAAAACAGUCGGUCCCCUUUGUAGUAGGGACUCAGGGCACAGAUGAGGGUGAGCUUAUUUCAGGAGCCCCUGGGGAAGGGCCGACAGCAAAUCUGAACUCAGGAAGGUGAGAGUCAGGUCUCAGAGCGCAGGUGACAGGAGGGUAUCCCCGCUCUGUCUCUAAGCUCUGCGUCCCUGGGGGUCCAGAG